rnacentral:tRNA from 1 species
AAGGGUGUAGCUGAGUUGUAGAGCACUUGCCUAGCAAGAGAGGGCCUGGGUUCAAUCCCCAGCAUCAUGC